AGAUCUACAGCUCAGUUGGUUAGAGCAUCCGACUCCCUAUCCGCAAGGUACAGAGGCGGCAGAUCACUGGUUCAAGUCCAGUUACUUUUG
rnacentral:tRNA from 1 species